ACUAAUUCAACGAGAUACCUCAAUCAUGGUGGUGUGGCACCGGUAGCAUCUUCCUUCUGAUCCUCCCAUUCUUUCAGCUUAUCUCGUCCACGUAGAUCAUGUCACGAAGAACACGACAAUAAUAGACAUCGGAAGCAAUCACCGGCGUUGGAUGGGAAGAAGACACCAUCAUGACGUUAUCGCUGUGACGCAAGUCCCAAAUAUCGCAUCUCCUUCCUUCUCUAUAAAGCCAACCCUCUCACGACUCUGAAUCGAUCAUAUGUGCACCACCGAAGACGAUAAGAUGAGGACAGUCGUCAAGAGUCGUGCUUCUCUCCUCCUCACACUCGUCAUCGUCGUCUUCCUCGUCACAGUAGCGAGAGGGGAGACGACCCCUGUGAAGGAAGCGUACGGUGCCGUGGCUCCCCAUGGGCGGGCAUGCUCGGGUCAGUACUACCGCUGCAGGCCGCCUUCGACCCCUUGAUAGGCUACUUCGGCAGUAUUGAGGACGUGUAGUUCCUUUGACGCGCAAAAUAUAUGCAGGAGGCAGAUACGUACAAUAAGACUGUCUGUAUGGAUGGUUGUGCAUGUUUGUAGUGCGUGUGUUUCAGAACCCUGUUGUGCUUUUAUACUUUGCAGGAUCUGUUGUGAAAGGUCAUAUAAAUAAAUAUAUAAAUAUAUUUAUAUUUA